AAGAAGUAUUGGCAGCAGCAAGCAGGCGGGCAGGCUGAGAUCUUGCAUGGAAAUCAUGAACCAGGUCUUGCUUUUCGUUUUUGAAACGUUUUGGAAGGAGAGUUAUGAAUAGCCCAGAAAUAGGUCUCAUUUUGUGGGUAGGAAGAAUGACCAGAAGCAUGAAAGCUAAAUCUCCUGGCAAGUGCAGGGGACCUCUCUUGGAGUGUGCAGUAAACCCGAGGGGACGACUUCUCCUGCUGUCAACUCCUGAACCAUCACAUCUGGAGUGAAGGAAGGGGCUGGUGAAGCCUUGUAAUAAAUGCAAAGGAUGCUGCUGAGAGCUUUGGUCUGCCUUUAACUCAUUGUGCAUCCGCUACAGCUGUUUUCAUCAUUAUAAAAGGAGAGCCAGCACUAGCCAGCAGAGGAAGUUUCUGGGCAAAGUUGGACAUCCCAAAGAUGGCGUAGAUGAACAUGACGAGGAAAAGCAGGAGGCCGAUGUUGAACAGCGCAGGAAGGGACAUCAUCAGAGCAAAGAGCAGCGUGCGGAUCCCCUUGGCGCCUUUGAUCAGGCGUAGGAUUCGUCCAAUCCUGGCCAGGCGAAUGACUCGGAACAGGAUGCUACUCCCAGUCUUCACUGAGAAACUGCUCUAGCCAGUGAACGACAGUGAAUGAAGAAAUGCCUGGCUGCUCGAGACACCGAGAGUGACAGCUGCGUGCUCAGCUCAGGAGGACGUUCAUAUCCUUCUUCAAGGCUCUAGGAACAAAGCGUGGUGAUGACAGGAAGACAGUAAGAGCCCAGGACAUAGGGAUGGGAGCUAUGAAGCUCUGUGCUGUACCAAGGACACAAUCAAUGUAAUCGCGGCACCAUAACAGAGGUCAGCAGUGGGUUCGUGCAAUACUGAGCGGGUCAGCAUUCAUUCAUUCAUAUACAGAGAGGGCCCAUGCAGCCACAUCUUCUCUGCUGAAUUAUGAGCUACCGAUGGAUUGUGGGAGAAACAAACAUUCUCUUCAGCCUUGGGCCCACUUCUGAGUUCACUAGGUUAAAGUGAGUAGUCGCUAAUCCAUGGACACAGACGGCCCUGAUUAAACGCAGUGGGUUAGGAAAAAAAGGAAAGAAAAAAAACAUGGCCGUGGGAAAGGGACUAGAAAGGGGAGGGGUUAUCAGGUAAGAGAAGGCUAGGGUGGCAGCAAUCAGAAUGGACUAUCUAUGAAGUUGUCUAAAGCUGAAAAUGUGCACACAGUUCUUAUAUGCUUAUUAACGGAAUGCUGAAGCACAUCUAGGCAAUAGGCAUGUAAUCGACAUCUCAGACCUUCUGUUAGGAAACUGGGAGCCUGACAUAUACAGAGGUAGAUACUUUCAGCCAACCAUUGGACUGAGCAUGGGUCCCGCAAUGGAGGAGUUAGAGAAAGGACUGAAGGAACUGAAGGGAUUUGCAACCCCAUAGAAAGAACGGCAAUAAUCAACCAACCAGAGCUCCCAGGGACUAAACCACCAGCCAAAGAGUACACAUGGAGGGACCCAUGACUCCAGCCGCCUAUGUAGCAGAGGAUGGCCUUGUCAGGCAUCAAUGGGAGGAGAGGCCCUUGAUCCUUGGGCUUCGCUCGAUGCCCCAGUGUAGGGGAAUGCCAGGGCAGGGGGGCAGGAGUGGAUGGGCGUGUGGGGGAGCACCCUCACCAUAGCAGGGGCAGGGAAGACGAGAUAGGGGCUUCUGGGGGAGGAAACUGGGAAAGGGAAUAACAUUUGAAGGGUAAAUAAAGAAAGUAUCAAAAAA
rnacentral:lncRNA from 1 species